GGGGAUUUAGCUCAGUGGUAGAGCGCUUGCCUAGGAAGCGCAAGGCCCUGGGCUCGAUCCCCAGCUCCG
rfam:Rattus norvegicus chromosome 11, whole genome shotgun sequence.